rnacentral:rRNA from 1 species
AUUGCUGGAACGCGCUUCGGCGCACCCAGAAACCCUUUGUGAACUUAUACCUAUUGUUGCCUCGGCGUAGGCCGGCUUUUUCUAAAAGCCCCCUGGAAACAGGGAGAAAGCCCGCCGGCGGCCAACCAAACUCUUGUUUCUACAGUGAAUCUCUGAGUAAAAAACAUAAAUGAAUCAAAACUUUCAACAACGGAUCUCUUGGUUCUGGCAUCGAUGAAGAACGCAGCGAAAUGCGAUAAGUAAUGUGAAUUGCAGAAUUCAGUGAAUCAUCGAAUCUUUGAACGCACAUUGCGCCCUCUGGUAUUCCGGAGGGCAUGCCUGUUCGAGCGUCAUUUCAACCCUCAAGCCUGGCUUGGUGAUGGGGCACUGCCUGUAAAAGGGCAGGCCCUGAAAUCUAGUGGCGAGCUCGCCAGGACCCCGAGCGUAGUAGUUAUAUCUCGCUCUGGAAGGCCCUGGCGGUGCCCUGCCGUUAAACCCCCAACUUCUGAAAAUUUGACCUCGGAUCAGGUAGGAAUACCCGCUGAACUUAAGC